GGCCGGCGGAGCCUCGCAUUCUGCCUCCAGCUCGGCAGGCGGCGCUGUGACGCGCUGCUCUCUCUCCUACCCCCCUGACUAUUCCCAAUUUCAUCUCUUCGUCAGCUCCUUCCCACCCCCUCCCACCCUUCUCCCAGCGGAAUGCUCUGCUGCCCGCUUCCAGGACCGUGAUGUGGGCUGAAGCCCCCUCUGGGAGGCGGGACCCCGCCCUCGCGCCCUCCGCCCUCCUGCCGCCAUUGCCUCGCUCCAUCGUGGCUGCACCAAAAAUAUGCUCCAACUUUGUUCCCACUCUGCCCACCCUGCACCCGUGAGCAGCUUUGUGAUCCGUGUUCAUGCCGCCCUCCCCUUCCUGCUCCUCUCCCUGCCUCUCCUUUACGCAUCCUUGGAAGGCUUCCUCUGAAAUCACCUUUGAUCUUUACGUGGCCCUGUCCGGUGGACGUUUCCAAGUGCCUACUGCUCUGUACUGUUCAGCAGCCCUGCAGUGCACAGCUGAGAGCCCAGCCCACGGCCCUAUGCCCGACCACCCACACCUUGGUGCAGUGCAUCUAUAGGACACCCCAUGUGCGGAAGAUCUGAGGCUCCUGGGCCUGAUCUCCAGGAGGAAGGUGGGCAGCUGCCUCCCUGGGGAGACGACUUCUGCAUCAGCAGAUUGCAGACCGCAGCCCAAUGGAUGGCAGAGAAGACUGCUGGUUUGCUGGGCCAGAGCUGGUCGGCAGUUGUUGCGCAAGCAGGAAGCAACACUUCAGGACGUCCUUCCACCCACAUCUCUGACCUACUGUGCAGCUGCUGGAACCAACAGGAAAUGCUUCUUUCUCUUGCAAUGUCCCUCCAGUGCCUUCUACCUAGAAAGCUUAACAUUGUGCUCCCUGUAAAGGCGAAAUGCUUAAACAAAUCCUGUCCAUUAUCACUGAGACGAUAUUAAAAGGUGGAGUUGAAGCUGAGAAGCAAUAAAUUAGUCACUGACACAUCAGUCCUUUGUGAUAAUUAUUUUUUUUCUCUCUUUGAAGGUUUGUGCAGUCUUUGUCCUCAGUUUCCCCUUCAUGUGGGUCUGGUUUCAUCCCUUAGGUACUAGGCACACAGCUGGCUCUUUCACUCCAGGAGCUCAUGUCCUUUGCUUCCGAGAAAACUUCUUAUUUUCAUCAUAUCUUCUCUCUUUUCUCUUUUCUUUCUUAUUAUUCAAAUAGUAUAUUUCUUGGACUGUGUCUCUACUUUUCUUUUCCUUUUAUAUUCUGUUUGUUUUUGCUCUGCCUUGUGGAACAUUUCUUUAUCUUUCAGGCCUCCUGUGCAGUAUUGGAUUUUUGCUUUCAUGUUUUUAAUUUCUGAGAGCUCUUUUUUGGUCUCUGAAUGUUCUUCCUCUUUUUAAAUAGCACCCCGUUUCUGUUUCAUGAAUGCAGUAUCUUUUGUACUGUCUCGCUGAGGCUAUUAGUGCUACUUGUUUUUAAGUCGUCUUCCUACACAGACUCUGUUUCUGCAAAUUGCUUUUCAUUCUGUUUGUUUGUUUUUGUUUAAUUUUAUCUUCCAUGCUUGAGGCAUAUCUCAACUGUCUGGUAAAUCCUGGACUGUCUGAUCAUUUAUGAGAGGGGAACUUUAUCAGUUAGGUCCCAACAGUAACAAAAGGUUCAUUCAAAUUUGGACAAUUUCAGGAGGACUUAUUUACAAAAUGGCUGUUUACGAAGGCAGAGUGUAGGAGAGCCGUCGCUUUGGCUGAGAGACACGGCAGUCUGAGGUGAGCCUUCUGAGAGGGACGGAGGAACGAGUGCCCUGACCCACUUCCCCCUGCCCUCUUGUUGUCUUCCCGGGUUUCCCAGUGGCCAAGCCAGUCCGAGAGUGAGGGAGCUUGCUUGUGUUGUCUGUGCCUCAACCUCUUCCCCAUGCAGAGGGUAAGGCGAGCCAGGCUGUGGAGGGACAGAAGGCAGAUGGCUGACAUGGAACCAAAAUCCUCAGUGUAUGCUCGGUGUAGGGGGUUCAUUGGUGGGGCUGUUUGCUGGGAGAAUCUCCAAAUGUCUGGGUCUUUAGGUCUUUCCUCUGGGGAGAGUCAGUUUUCCCAGGAAAGAAUCUAGCAGUCUCUUUCCAAGGAGGGAGAAGGUCUGGCCACCUGUGUGCUGUUUGCUAAAAGGAGGCAGAAAGGAAGGCACAUCCUUUUUACUGCCUCAACAUGAAGCCCUCAGCACACCGCUGUU